rnacentral:rRNA from 1 species
UGGGGAAUAUUGGGCAAUGGAGGCAACUCUGACCCAGCAACGCCGCGUGAGCGAUGAAGGUCUUCGGAUUGUAAAGCUCUUUAAGUGGGGACGAAGAAAGUGACUGUACCCACAGAAUAAGCCUCGGCUAACUACGUGCCAGCAGCCGCGGUAAUACGUAGGAGGCAAGCGUUAUCCGGAAUGACUGGGCGUAAAGGGUGCGUAGGUGGUCUUGCAAGUUAGUAGCGUAAUCCCGGGGCUCAACUUCGGAACUACUACUAAAACUGCAAAACUUGAGUGCAGGAGGGGCAGAUGGAAUUCCCAGUGUAGCGGUGGAAUGCGUAGAUAUUGGGAAGAACACCGGCGGCGAAGGCGAUCUGCUGGACUGUAACUGACACUGAGGCACGAAAGCGUGGGGAGC